rnacentral:rRNA from 1 species
GACGAACGCUGGCGGCGUGCCUAAUACAUGCAAGUCGAACGCAGUUUCGAACGGGUGAGUAUCGCGUGUGUACAUGCCUCAUAGCGGGGGAUAACUAUUGGAAACGAGAGCUAUUACCGCAUACUGUAAGCUAUCCCUGCGUUGUAUUAGCUAGUUGGUGGGGUAAAGGCCCACCAAGGCGACGAUACAUAGCCGGCCUGAGAGGGUGAACGGCCACAAUGGGACUGAGACACGGCCCAGACUCCUACGGGAGGCAGCAGUAGGGAAUCUUCGGCAAUGGACGGAAGUCUGACGGAGCAACGCCGCGUGAGUGAAGACGGUUUUCGGGUCGUAAAGCUCUGUUGUUAGAGAAGCGGUAACGAACCAGAAAGGGACGGCUAACUACGUGCCAGCAGCCGCGGUAAUUC